CAGGACGAACGCUGGCGGCGUGCCUAACACAUGCAAGUCGAACGAGAUCCAUGGAGCUUGCUCCCGGAAGAUCUAGUGGCGAACGGGUGAGUAACACGUGAGAAACCUGCCCUGGAGUGGGAAUAACUCGGGGAAACUCGAGCUAAUACCGCAUACCCUCGGAUGGUCGCAUGGCCGACCGAGGAAAGAUUUAUCGCUCUAGGAGGGUCUCGCGGCCUAUCAGCUAGUUGGUGGGGUAACGGCCUACCAAGGCAACGACGGGUAGCUGGUUUGAGAGAACGAUCAGCCACACUGGGACUGAGACACGGCCCAGACUCCUACGGGAGGCAGCAGUGGGGAAUCUUGCGCAAUGGGCGAAAGCCUGACGCAGCAACGCCGCGUGCGGGAUGACGGCCUUCGUGGUUGUAAACCGCUUUCAGCAGGGACGAAAAUGACGGUACCUGCAGAAGAAGCCCCGGCUAACUACGUG
rnacentral:rRNA from 1 species